rnacentral:misc_RNA from 1 species
UUUCCGCCGUGUGAGGUGCCGUCGUGCCGAACUCUACCGUCUGCCGAGCGUCCGGGGCACGCCGAACUGUGUCUGUUUGUAUGAUUUUUGUAAUAAUAUUUUAAUAUUAUUGUAGUCGGCGUUUUUUGUUUUUUUUACCGUCCUGAGUGUUGUAAUAUCAUAUUCUGACCCGUUGGUUCUAGAACCGGAAUCAAGAUGUAUACGGAAGAUCAAGAGCGUGUGGGAGAUAUGAUUAAGAAGUUUGAAAAAGAUAAAGAAGAUAGAGAAAAAGAAAGAAAAAAAGAUAGAGAAAGGAGGAAAAGUCGUAGUAGAUCACAUACACGAGAUCGUCGUAGCAGAUCUAGAGAUCGCCAUCGUGAUAAACGUGAUAAAGAAAAAGAAAGAGAUAAAUAUAAAGAUCAUGAUUCAGAUAAAGUACGAGAAAAACAUACAAAAAGAGAUUCUCGUUCAAAGUCAAAAGGAAAACUUGUGAGUAAUGGACAUACUUCACCGACUAAAAAAGAAAAAAGUCGUAGUUGUUCACCUAAAAAUGAUAUUACCUCAACUGAGGAAAAAACUACUAAUCCAAAGACUUCAGUUUCGCCUGCUAAAGACAAAGUUGUAGAAACAAAUAAUAAACCUAAACCUAAAGAACGAUCAUUAUCUAGAGAUUCUACUAAACGCAGGGAGAAAAAACGGCAUCAUUCUUCUUCAUCAAGUCGUAGUUCAUCAUCGUCUAAUUCUUCUUUAAGCCCUGACCGUAAAAAAGAUUUUGAAAUUCAGAAAAAAGAAAACAGUAUCCAAAAAAAAAGACAAUACCGAACAAAUAAAGAUGAAUCGUCUGGAAGUGAAUCGGACAAAGAUAAAUCUACAGAUAGAAGAGAUCGACGUGAUCGUUCAUCUUCUCGAUCGAGGCGUCCAUCUAGACAUGCUUUUAAUCGUGGCCGAUAUCGUGAAAAAAGUCGUGAUCGUUAUUAUAGAGAUAGAGAAAGGGAAAGGGCAAGAGAAAGAGAACGUAAUCGCCGUGAUCGUGAACGGGAACGUAGAGAUAGAGAAAGAGCAAUUCGUGAAAGGGAUCGUGAACGUGAUAGACGUAGGCAAAGAGAAAGAGAAGAAAAAUCAUCACCUCGAAGAAGGAAAUCCAGAAGUCCUGAAAGAAAAUCUAGAUCAGGCAGCAGACAUACAAGAUCUCGUUCAAAAUCUAAAAGGAGACCAAGUGGAAAAUCACGUAGCAGGGAACGUACUGUUAAGGAUUCUAGUAUUAUUUCUCCCACAAAAAAAGAUAACACUUCAAAAUCAAAGGCUUCUCAAGAAAGUUUAUCUAGAACUCCUUCACCUUUUAAGAAAGUUGAAGACAAAGCAGAACGUAAACCAGUAAAAGAUAGAUUGGGUGUUAGAGAUGAACAACAUUCUAAAUCUUCUCAGCCACAAAGAUCAAAAGGACAAUCUCCUUCAUCGGAAAAGAAAAAUAACACUGAUAAAAAAAAUUCAUCUAGUUCUAGACGAAGGUCAUCAACAUCUCCUGCUAUUAAAAAGAAAGAAGAAGAUAAAACAGAAAAAGUAAAAAAACCUAUGAAGAAAUCUGACACCUCUGAUGCCGAAAACACCAAAAUUAAAAAAAAGGAAGAAUCAAGUUCAUCAGAUGAAUCAUUAAAAAAGUCUAAAAAGAAAGUUAAAAGAGAUUCUAGUUCAGAUGAUGAUAAAGUAAAGGCUAAAAAACGAAAACUCAAGGAUUCUACUUCAUCUGAAGAUGAUGAUUCUAAGAAAAAAAAGAAACGCAAAAAGAGAUCGUCCAGUUCAAGCUCAGAUGAAAGUGACAGAGAUGACAAAAAAAAGAAAAAGGACAAGAAACAUAAAAAACAUAAGAAGCAUAAGAAACACAAAAAACAUAAGAAACGCAAGACUGAAGAAAGUGGUUCUGAUGCCAAAUCUGGAGAUGAGUCGGAACAACGUUUAAGGGAGAAGGCACUGCGUACCAUGAAAAAGAAAAAUCAGGCUAAACAUGACGGAACCCCUAACAGUAAUAGCAGUGAUUAACAAAAGAGCAACGAGAAUUUGACAGGUUAGCCCUACUGUCCAGUCAACAGGCUGACUUGUUGGCAGAGUUAUACUUGCAUCAUUUUCAUAGCGCUGUCUGAUCGUUUUUGAAGCCCCGCAAUUGUUUUCUUUCAAUCAACAUUUUUAAUGAGCAACUACAAUACAUCUAUCAACAUUCAUUCUGCAUUUCUCCUAUCAACAUAUCUGCAAUCAACAUUACUUCUAUCAACACACCCACAAUCAACAUAUCUGCUUUCAACAUAACUUCUGUCAACACAUCCACGUUCAACAUUCCUUCUAUCAACACCAAAUCUUCACUGCAAUCAACAUUUCUCUCAUCAUCAAAUAUAUUUCAGAUCAUUUGAGUGUUCUGUGUUUUCAAACCAUUGAAAACUAUCGCUUCAUCCACUAAUUAUUCAUAUCCGUAUGACUAGUAUGAUCUAGAAUAAGAUGACAUGUGAAUUGUUAAUAUCUUGACCAAUGAGAGUUGCGUUAUGGAUAAAUACAAUAUCUACGACUGCUGUUUGAAAAUGUACCUAGACCAAUUGAAAAUCUACAGUUGAUCUAAAAAGUUUUUGGCUUAUGUCAAAUUAUUCAAUUAAUAUAAUACAAUAUAAUCUUAUUUUGUUUAAAAUAUUUUGUUAUGAGAAAAACUAUUUUAAAUUUAAUUGUUUUGUUUCAGGGCUUAUAGUUAAGAAGAAUUUGAAGUAUUAGUAAUAAUUCUGAAGAAUGGUUCUUAGAAGAUUUCUUUAAUUUUAAUAAUUUUUUUUAAUAAUUUUUCAAUAAUAAACAAUUUAUAACAUUAACGCAAUUAUACACAUCUUACAUAAAUAUAUUAUAUUCAAUUUUUAAAAAUGUAUCAUAAAUUAAAAUACAUUGUUUAAUUUAAUAUUUCACGUAAGCAAUACAACAUAAGUUACAUUAAUUAGUAAUAUGUUAUUAUUAGCUAUUACAAUUAGAUAAAAAAUAAAUAUGACAUAUAUUUUUAC